CGCGGCCUAUCAGCUUGUUGGUGAGGUAACGGCUCACCAAGGCAUCGACGGGUAGCUGGUCUGAGAGGACGAUCAGCCACACUGGAACUGAGACACGGUCCAGACUCCUACGGGAGGCAGCAGCAGGGAAUAUUGCACAAUGGGCGAAAGCCUGAUGCAGCAACGCCGCGUGAGGGAUGACGGCCUUCGGGUUGUAAACCUCUUUCAGGAGGGAAGAAAUUGACGGUACCUCCAAAAGAAGCCCCGGCUAACUACGUGCCAGCAGCCGCGGUAAUACGUAGGGGGCAAGCGUUGUCCGGAUUUAUUGGGCGUAAAGAGCUCGUAGGCGGCUCAGUAAGUCGGCUGUGAAAGUCCGAGGCUCAACCUCGGAACUGCAGUCGAUACUGCUGUGGCUAGAGUCAGGUAGAGGAGAAUGGAAUUCCCGGUGUAGCGGUGGAAUGCGCAGAUAUCGGGAGGAACACCAGUAGCGAAGGCGGUUCUCUGGGCCAGUACUGACGCUGAGGAGCGAAAGCGUGGGGAGCAAACAGGAUUAGAUACCCUGGUAGUCCACGCCGUAAACGUUGGGUACUAGGUGUGGCGAUCGGACUAACGAUUGCCGUGCCGAAGCUAACGCAUUAAGUACCCCGCCUGGGGAGUACGG
rnacentral:rRNA from 1 species